UACAGAGGUGGCAAGCGUUGUUCGGAAUUACUGGGCGUAAAGGGCGCGUAGGCGGUCAGGUCAGUCCCGUGUGAAAUCCCUCGGCUCAACUGAGGAACUGCACGGGAAACUGCCUGGCUUGAGUUCGGGAGAGGGAAGCGGAAUUCCGGGUGGAGCGGUGAAAUGCGUUGAUAUCGGAAGGAACGCCGGUGGCGAAAGCGACGGACUGGAUCUCUUCUGACGCUGAGGCGCGAAAGCCAGGGGAGCAAACGGGG
rnacentral:rRNA from 1 species